AUUGAACGCUGGCGGCAGGCCUAAAACAUGCAAGUCGAGCGGAGCGGGGGACGGGGGAGUAAUGCCAAGGAAUUUGCCUGGUGGUGGGGGAUAAGGUCCGGAAACGGGCGCUAUUCCCGCAUCUUACCAGAUGAGCUUGGGUCGGAUUAGCGAGUGGGGGGGGUAAAGGCCUACCAAGGGGACGAUCCGUAACUGGUCUGAGAGGAUGAUCAGUCACACUGGAACUGAGACACGGUCCAGACUCCUACGGGAGGCAGCAGUGGGGAAUAUUGGACAAUGGGCGAAAGCCUGAUCCAGCCAUGCCGCGUGUGUGAAGAAGGUCUUCGGAUUGUAAAGCACUUUAAGUUGGGAGGCGUUACCAACAGAAUAAGCACCGGCUAACUUCGUGCCAGCCGCCGCGGUAAUAC
rnacentral:rRNA from 1 species